rnacentral:rRNA from 1 species
GUGGAGUAUGUGGCUUAAUUCGAUGCAACGCGAAGAACCUUACCUGGCCUUGACAUGCAUUGUGUCGUCGGUGUAAGCCGGCUAGUCCUGGAAACAGGACGCUUUGCACAGGUGCUGCAUGGCUGUCGUCAGCUCGUGUCGUGAGAUGUUGGGUUAAGUCCCGCAACGAGCGCAACCCUUGUGGUCAGUUACUAACCGGCUUAGCCGGAGGACUCUGGCCAGACUGCCCUGUCAAACGGGGAGGAAGGUGGGGACGACGUCAAGUCAGUAUGGCCCUUAUGGCCAGGGCUGCACACGUACUACAAUGCCCGGUACAAUGUGAACCGAAACCGCGAGGUGGAGGAAAUCGCUCUUGAAAACCGGGCCCAGUUCGGAUUGGAGUCUGCAACUCGACUCCAUGAAGUCGGAAUCGCUAGUAAUGGCGUAUCAGCAACGACGCCGUGAAUACGUUCCCGGGUCUUGUACACACCGCCCGUCACAUCAUGGAAGUCUCCUGUACCCGAAGCACGUGCGCCACCUUU